GAUGAACGCUGGCGGCGUGCCUAAUACAUGCAAGUCGAGCGAACGGACGAGAAGCUUGCUUUUCUGAUGUUAGCGGCGAACGGGUGAGUAACACGUGGAUAACCUACCUAUAAGACUGGGAUAACUUCGGGAAACCGGAGCUAAUACCGGAUAAUAUUUUGAACCGCAUGGUUCAAAAGUGAAAGACGGCCUUGCUGUCACUUAUAGAUGGAUCCGCGCUGCAUUAGCUAGUUGGUAAGGUAACGGCUUACCAAGGCAACGAUGCAUAGCCGACCUGAGAGGGUGAUCGGCCACACUGGAACUGAGACACGGUCCAGACUCCUACGGGAGGCAGCAGUAGGGAAUCUUCCGCAAUGGGCGAAAGCCUGACGGAGCAACGCCGCGUGAGUGAUGAAGGUCUUCGGAUCGUAAAACUCUGUUAUUAGGGAAGAACAUAUGUGUAAGUAACUGUGCACAUCUUGACGGUACCUAAUCAGAAAGCCACGGCUAACUACGUG
rnacentral:rRNA from 1 species